rnacentral:rRNA from 1 species
AUUGAACGCUGGCGGCAGGCCUAACACAUGCAAGUCGAACGAGUGGCGGACGGGUGAGUAAUGUCUGUGAAACUUCGUGAUGGAUGGGGAUAACUACUGGAAACUGUAGCUAAUACCGCAUACCAUCGGAUGUGCCCAGGUGGGAUUAGAUAGUGGGUGGGGUAAUGGCACACCUAGGCCACGAUCCGUAGCUGGUCUGAGAGGAUGACCAGCAACACUGGAACUGAGACACGGUCCAGACUCCUACGGGAGGCAGCAGUGGGGAAUAUUGGACAAUGGGCGCAAGCCUGAUGCAGCCAUGCCGCGUGUGUGAAGAAGGCCUUCGGGUUGUAAAGCACUUUAAGCGAGGAGGCGUUACCAGCAGAAGAAGCACCGGCUAACUCCGUGCCAGCAGCCGCGGUAAUAC